UACGGAGGGUGCGAGCGUUGUCCGGAAUCACUGGGCGUAAAGGGCGCGUAGGUGGCGCGAGUAGUCAACGGUGAAAGCCCGGGGCUCAACCCCGGGUCGGCCGUCGAUACUCUCGUGCUUGAGCACUGUAGAGGCAGGUGGAAUUCCGGGUGUAGCGGUGGAAUGCGUAGAGAUCCGGAAGAACACCGGUGGCGAGUCUCUGGACAUUUCCUGACGCUGAGGCACGAAAGCCAGGGGAGCAAACGGG
rnacentral:rRNA from 1 species